rnacentral:rRNA from 1 species
AUUGAACGCUGGCGGCAGGCCUAACACAUGCAAGUCGAGCGAGCGGCGGACGGGUGAGUAAUGUCUGGGAAACUGCCUGAUGGAGGGGGAUAACUACCGGAAACGGUAGCUAAUACCGCAUACCAUCAGAUGUGCCCAGUGGGGAUUAGCUAGUUGGUGGGGUAACGGCUCACCUAGGCGACGAUCCCUAGCUGGUCUGAGAGGUUGACCAGCCACACUGGAACUGAGACACGGUCCAGACUCCUACGGGAGGCAGCAGUGGGGAAUAUUGCACAAUGGGCGCAAGCCUGAUGGAGCAAUGCCGCGUGUGUGAAGAAGGCCUUCGGGUUGUAAAGCACUUUCAGCGGGGAGGCGUUACCCGAAGAAAAAGCACCGGCUAACUCCGUGCCAGCAGCCGCGGUAAUAC